AUGCACCGUUCGUCCACUCCGGUUCCUUCGCGCCGUCCACACCCACCUGACGACUGCUCGCUAUGUGUUGUUGGCC
rnacentral:sRNA from 2 species